rnacentral:lncRNA from 1 species
CCACAUCUAUAUGUUUUCAAUAUCUAGAACUCCGUAUACAACUGGGAAGAUCCAGUUGCAAGCAUCUACAGCACAUGCACUCACUAAUUGUCCUCUCAAUCUUCCAUUUAAUGCAGAGACAUCUACUCCAAGAUAAGGCCUAUAUCCAGAAAACUGCCAACAUGCUUCGAAAGAAACAAAAAUUCUCCUAAAGCACUCUUUAUG